UGGUGGAGUGAUCUGUCUGGUUAAUUCCGAUAACGAACGAGACCUCAGCCUGCUAACUAGACCGAUCUAAUUUCUUAGUUUGCGUCUUCUUAGAGGGACUUCCGGAGCUAUUCGGAGGAAGUGUGAGGCAAUAACA
rnacentral:rRNA from 1 species